GAUGAACGCUGGCGGCGUGCCUAAUACAUGCAAGUCGAGCGAACGGACGAGAAGCUUGCUUCUCUGAUGUUAGCGGCGGACGGGUGAGUAACACGUGGAUAACCUACCUAUAAGACUGGGAUAACUUCGGGAAACCGGCGCUAAUAGCGGAUAAUAUUUUGAACCGCAUGGUUGAAAAGUGAAAGACGGUCUUGCUGUCACUUCUCGAUGGAUCCGCGCUGCAUUAGCUAGUUGGUAAGGUAACGGCUUACCAAGGCAACGAUGGAUAGCCGACCUGCGAGAGUGAUCGGCCACACGGGAACUGAGACACGGUCCAGACUCCUACGGGAGGCAGCAGUAGGGAAUCUUCCGCAAUGGGCGAAAGCCUGACGGAGCAACGCCGCGUGAGUGAUGAAGGUCUUCGGAUCGUAAAACUCUGUUAUUAGGGAAGAACAUAUGUGUAAGUAACUGUGCACAGCUUGACGGUACCUAAUCAGAAAGCCACGGCUAACUACGUG
rnacentral:rRNA from 1 species